GACGAACGCUGGCGGCGUGCUUAACACAUGCAAGUCGAACGGAAAGGCGUUGCUCUUGUGGGGUGCUCGAGUGGCGAACGGGUGAGUAACACGUGAGUAACCUGACCUUGACUUUGGGAUAACUCUAGGAAACUGGGGCUAAUACCGGAUAGGAGCUACUGCUGCAUAGUGGGGGCUGGAAAGUUUCGGCGGUGGGGGAUGGACUAGAGGCUUAUCAGCUUGUUGGUGGGGUAGUGGCUUACCAAGGCUUUGACGGGUAGCCGGCCUGAGAGGGUGACCGGCCACAUUGGGACUGAGAUACGGCCCAGACUCCUACGGGGGGCAGCAGUGGGGAAUAUUGCACAAUGGGCGGAAGCCUGAUGCAGCAACGCCGCGUGCGGGAUGACGGCCUUCGGGUUGUAAACCGCUUUCGCCUGUGACGAAGCGUGAGUGACGGUAAUGGGUAAAGAAGCACCGGCUAACUACGUG
rnacentral:rRNA from 1 species